rnacentral:lncRNA from 1 species
GAUAUGGCAUGGUAGGUUGUUAGAAUUUGGGAGCAUUAGCUCUGGGAUUACAGGGAUCUUCUUCUGUAAUAGUAUCACCUUCAAUCAAUAAUACUAUUUUUUCUUUUCUCUUACUUUGGAUUCCUAUCAAUAUCAGUUUAUUUAGUUCACUGGAAAUUUAAAUGUUUUUCUAAGAAUUCUUAGAGUGCCCUAACCAUAUUGCAAGCAAGAUCCUAUAAAAAUUUGCAUUAAAAAGAGUACAAUACACAGUCUCCAUAAAAACAAAAUUUCAAGUUCGGCGGCUAAAAACCGAUUGAGAUUAAACAGAGAAAACACCAAAGUUACAAAAUGUGACAGACUAGCCAUUGUGUUUUAUAGACAAUACACACCAAUAAUGUUAAACUGAUACAUUAGAAUUGAUCAUCACAGUAAGUGCAUAUGUUUGUUACAAAAGGAUUACAAAAUACAUGUCUUCAAAGAUCAGUUGGCAUUACAAA